GAGUUAUCUGAACCUUCGGGGGACGAUAACGGCGUCGAGCGGCGGACGGGUGAGUAAUGCCUAGGAAAUUGCCCUGAUGUGGGGGAUAACCAUUGGAAACGAUGGCUAAUACCGCAUGAUGCCUACGGGCCAAAGAGGGGGACCUUCGGGCCUCUCGCGUCAGGAUAUGCCUAGGUGGGAUUAGCUAGUUGGUGAGGUAAGGGCUCACCAAGGCGACGAUCCCUAGCUGGUCUGAGAGGAUGAUCAGCCACACUGGAACUGAGACACGGUCCAGACUCCUACGGGAGGCAGCAGUGGGGAAUAUUGCACAAUGGGCGCAAGCCUGAUGCAGCCAUGCCGCGUGUGUGAAGAAGGCCUUCGGGUUGUAAAGCACUUUCAGUCGUGAGGAAGGCAGUGUAGUUAAUAGCUGCAUUAUUUGACGUUAGCGACAGAAGAAGCACCGGCUAACUCCGUGCCAGCAGCCGCGGUAAUACGGAGGGUGCGAGCGUUAAUCGGAAUUACUGGGCGUAAAGCGCAUGCAGGUGGUUUGUUAAGUCAGAUGUGAAAGCCCGGGGCUCAACCUCGGAAUUGCAUUUGAAACUGGCAGACUAGAGUACUGUAGAGGGGGGUAGAAUUUCAGGUGUAGCGGUGAAAUGCGUAGAGAUCUGAAGGAAUACCGGUGGCGAAGGCGGCCCCCUGGACAGAUACUGACACUCAGAUGCGAAAGCGUGGGGAGCAAACAGGAUUAGAUACCCUGGUAGUCCACGCCGUAAACGAUGUCUACUUGGAGGUUGUGGCCUUGAGCCGUGGCUUUCGGAGCUAACGCGUUAAGUAGACCGCCUGGGGAGUACGGUCGCAAGAUUAAAACUCAAAUGAAUUGACGGGGGCCCGCACAAGCGGUGGAGCAUGUGGUUUAAUUCGAUGCAACGCGAAGAACCUUACCUACUCUUGACAUCCAGAGAACUUUCCAGAGAUGGAUUGGUGCCUUCGGGAACUCUGAGACAGGUGCUGCAUGGCUGUCGUCAGCUCGUGUUGUGAAAUGUUGGGUUAAGUCCCGCAACGAGCGCAACCCUUAUCCUUGUUUGCCAGCGAGUAAUGUCGGGAACUCCAGGGAGACUGCCGGUGAUAAACCGGAGGAAGGUGGGGACGACGUCAAGUCAUCAUGGCCCUUACGAGUAGGGCUACACACGUGCUACAAUGGCGCAUACAGAGGGCAGCCAACUUGCGAAAGUGAGCGAAUCCCAAAAAGUGCGUCGUAGUCCGGAUUGGAGUCUGCAACUCGACUC
rnacentral:rRNA from 1 species